AGUGAACGCUGGCGGCAGGCCUAACACAUGCAAGUCGAGCGGCAGCGGGUUCCCGCGAGGGGAUGCCGGCGAGCGGCGGACGGGUGAGGAACACAUCGGAAUCUGCCUGGUUGUGGGGGAUAACGUAGGGAAACUUACGCUAAUACCGCAUGCGACCCUGAGUCGACGGACUGGGGGUGAAAGUGAGGGACCUUCGGGCCUCACGCGACCAGAUGAGCCGAUGUCGGAUUAGCUAGUUGGCGGGGUAACGGCCCGCCAAGGCGACGAUCCGUAGCUGGUCUGAGAGGAUGAUCAGCCACACUGGGACUGAGACACGGCCCAGACUCCUACGGGAGGCAGCAGUGGGGAAUCUUGGACAAUGGGCGCAAGCCUGAU
rnacentral:rRNA from 1 species